rnacentral:lncRNA from 1 species
AGGCACAAACCUACCAACGGCAAAGAAAUAAGAGCCAGAAGAUGCAAAUGGGGUGUCUGUGCAUGCACCAGGGAGACGAGUUUCAUUCCUCCAUCCCUACUUGCUUGACUUCUGAAGAGGACCUGGACUUGUCACUGUGCCUCUGUACAGAGCUCCACGGCUGCCAGUUCAUGACAUGGACCAUUCGUGUUGGGUUGGGUAACUAACACCCAACUGGAUUUUAUGUACCUGAUAGCAAAAGGAAAUAUUUUCUUAAACAUAGGCUGCAGCACUGUCACCUUUAGGUUCCAACCCAUUUGCUUCCCACUGACAACUGACCGACUUUCUCUGCUGAAAUCGCCGUGCUUGCUGUCUCUCCGCUGGGCUGUUCCCUUGCUGGCUGCCUCUUGCUGGCGGCUGGAAGCGAGGGGCUGGGAGAUCGGCGGCACCAGCAGAGUAGGGGGGACAGGGUCUGCCUCCAAUCCCCCUCCCCAGGAACAGGGGCAGUGGUUGGGCUCCAUCAACACACCUGAAGAAGCACAAACUAACGGGGUGAUGCCAGCACACAGUGCUUAAAAAGGUUUUAAACCGCCCUCAUCUCACCCUUCAAACAGAGGUAGUGAGCGCUCUGCUUUCUGGAGUGAAAUGGUCGAAAGGGCUUGCCUUUGUCAGGCGUGAAGCUACUGUGAGUUGGGAAUGCUCUUCUUUCCAGGGUAUCUCUGAGAGGUAUCUAUAGAUAUGUGAUGCUCUUCUCUCUCUCUCUCCCUCUCUCUCUUUUUUUUCUUUUUUUUUAAUUGUCUUACUACUUUUCUUUUCUUGCGUGAUUCACGUCCUUUUUUUUUUUUUUUCUUUGAAAUGUAAAUGAAAAAGCUGCUUCAUCAGAUCUAUAUAGAAUGUUCUUGUAUCUAAUAUGAUAAGAAAAUCAGAAUAUAAUCAUAUGGUGUGUUUUUUGUUGGUGGUAGUGUUUGCUUGUUUUUUAAUGGGGGGGGGGGGGGGGGGGAGGAGAGGAGAUGGACACACUGUUACUUGACCAGAAUCUCUCUCAGAAAUGUAUAGCUCUGUAAUAUUUAAUUAAAGAUGGAAAAAAGAUCCUUCCAUUCAUUUUCUGAUAAAAAAUAAAUUUCUUCCAUUUCUUCUGUAGGACUCGUGG